AGAUUCUCCUGAAGUGAUUGAGCCUCCUGAUGUUGGAAUGUCUCACACUAUUGGACAAAUGAUCCUAGAACAGGAGGAGGGUGGAUUUGAACUGGAAGAGGACACGGUGGCAAACUUCACUGCCACCUCCUUUAGUGUCCCCUCAGCUGUAAGUACAUUCCAUGUGUUCUUUAAAAAUGAUUCACAUAUAUAUCAGUCUUUUUAUUAAAUAUAAUUCCCUUUGUUCUUUAACAGUGUGAAGAAGCUUCCAAUAGCUCAGAGUCUGUCACUGAGCUACUAGGUGCAGAAGGACCCCCUGAAAGGUAUUAGUUUGGACUAUAUUCUCACUAUUAUUAGUAUUCUGCUGUUAUUCUUUUUACCAUUAUUAUUAUUAUAAUAAAAUAACUAUAACUCUCUACCUCUAACUCUUUUCAUUUCAGCACCAUGCCCAGAUCUCUGGAAAACUUCAAUCUGGGAAAAGUAUUGGGCGAAGGCACCUUUGGAAAGGUGGGUUGCUGUGUCCCUAAUAAGGGUUAGUACCCUGCUAAAGCAUAGGCACUGACCUUACUGUCUCAUUCCAGGUGUUCCUGGCAGAGUACAAGGACACAAAACAACUGUGUGCCAUAAAGACCCUUAAGAAAGAGAGGAUUAUUGCCAAGAAUGAUAUCAAGAGUGUUUUCAAGGAGAAGCGAAUCCUUCAGAAGGUUACCAGCGCAGAGCACCCAUUCCUGGUUUCCUUAUACGCCACAUUCCAGAGUGAGAAUCACCUCUUUUUUGUAAUGGAAUAUCUUCCUGGAGGUGAUCUGUGCCAUCUGCUCGAGCAUCAAGGAGCAUUUGAGGAAUCAAAAGCCAUGUUUUACACUGCCUGUAUAGUGCUCGGCCUGGAGGAAUUGCACCGGAACAAUAUUGUUCAUAGAGAUCUGAAACUGGAAAAUCUAAUGGUGGAUGUACAUGGCUAUCUGAAAAUCGUGGAUUUUGGCCUGAGUAAAGAUGGUAAUGUUUGUUAUAAUUGCAAACUUAUAAGGGAAUAGUUGGGGUUGAUUUGGAUGAUAUUUAGAUAUAUGUAUCUGUGUAUGUGCAGUAUGUAUGCAAGCAGCUGAGGGAAGUCUUUCACAGAUAGGGAUACAGAUCAUCUUACUGUGUUUUUUUGUCUUUAAGGUUUCAGAUAUGGAGAUCGCAGUAAGACCCAGUGCGGAACAAACUGCUACAUGGCCCCAGAGAUCAUUGACGAGAUGGCAUACAGCAGGGCCGUUGACUGGUGGGCCCUCGGGGUUGUAUUAUAUGUCAUGCUCAUGUUCCAGGUAAGCAUAAUGCCUAGAAAUCAGCUAUCACUGCCAUUAUAGUGAUAAAUGGGAUUUUAAAACACUUAAAUUAUAUUAAAUUAGAACACUGGUUUAAUAAAGGAAUAAUAUUUCAUGUUUCAGUUCCCAUUUGAUGCAGAAGAUGACAUGGAAUUAUUUGAGAGCAUCAGGAACGACAAACCUGCCCUGACAGAGGAAUUGUCUGAGGAAGCUCAGUGCCUAAUACUAAGAGUAAGUCGAUGAUGAUUUGGCUGUGGGACUGGAAUGGGGGCCUGAUGGUUCUGUCAAUUUAACAAUGAUUUUACAUUUAUUAUAGUUACUGGAGAAAAAUCCAUGUGAUCGCCUCGGAUCUAGCGAGGCCGGUGCUGAAGAGGUUAAAGCCCAUGAAUUCUUUGAAGUAAGUUUAUAUUGUAAUUAUGGUGCAUCAAGCCAGGAAUACAGUAGGACCUCUAAUGAGCAUAACCCUUUAUACUUCCUGUAUCUGUCAGUGUUUAACCCUGUAUAACCCUUUAUACUUCCUGUAUCUGUCAGUGUUUAACCCUGUAUAACCCUUUAUACUUCCUGUAUCUGUCAGUGUUUAACCCUGUAUAACCCUUUAUACUUCCUGUAUCUGUCAGUGUUUAACCCUGUAUAACCCUUUAUACUUCCUGUAUCUGUCAGUGUUUAACCCUGUAUAACCCUUUAUACUUCCUGUAUCUGUCAGUGUUUAACCCUGUAUAACCCUUUAUACUUCCUGUAUCUGUCAGUGUUUAACCCUGUAUAACCCUUUAUACUUCCUGUAUCUGUCAGUGUUUAACCCUGUAUAACCCUUUAUACUUCCUGUAUCUGUCAGUGUUUAACCCUGUAUAACCCUUUAUACUUCCUGUAUCUGUCAGUGUUUAACCCUGUAUAACCCUUUAUACUUCCUGUAUCUGUCAGUGUUUAACCCUGUAUAACCCUUUAUACUUCCUGUAUCUGUCAGUGUUUAACCCUGUAUAACCCUUUAUACUUCCUGUAUCUGUCAGUGUUUAACCCUGUAUAACCCUUUAUACUUCCUGUAUCUGUCAGUGUUUAACCCUGUAUAACCCUUUAUACUUCCUGUAUCUGUCAGUGUUUAACCCUGUAUAACCCUUUAUACUUCCUGUAUCUGUCAGUGUUUAACCCUGUAUAACCCUUUAUACUUCCUGUAUCUGUCAGUGUUUAACCCUGUAUAACCCUUUAUACUUCCUGUAUCUGUCAGUGUUUAACCCUGUAUAACCCUUUAUACUUCCUGUAUCUGUCAGUGUUUAACCCUGUAUAACCCUUUAUACUUCCUGUAUCUGUCAGUGUUUAACCCUGUAUAACCCUUUAUACUUCACUGUAUCUAUCAGUGUUUGUAUGUAAUCUGAAUGUUUCAUGUGUGUAGCUAUUUAAUAUCACCUAUUUUACAGGAUAUUGAUUGGGAAGAAUUUCUUGAAAGAGAAUUGAUGCCUCCAUUUAAACCAGAUGUCAGUGGCCUUACAGAGAGUACGAGGCAAUCUGAAUGCCAAGCCUGGGGAUUAAUGCCACCAGCUGAAGCCAUAUCACCAGAGGCACAAGAGCUAUUUGAAGGAUUCGACUAUUCAGCUGAGUGAGAGGCAAUUGCAAGGGGCAGAUAUAUGACUGGAAAAGGGCGGGUGGAGGGCCAGUCCAUAUACUAAUCAGAAGCCCCACUGACUUAAAGUUAAUAUCAAAUUCCCCAAGUCAUCAGUUUCUGAAGGAAGAGUCUAAUGGUGGCUCCAAAGUAUCUGUACAUCAGCCCUGAGGAGCAGAGUUCUGGACUGAGUUUGAAGAGACCCUGGCAUUUCAAGUACAAAGAGAUCCAAACAGCCCCCAGUGGCAUUUGCCAGAAUCUACAGAU